AGUGGUGAUGACAAACAAAGGCUGAAAAUGUCCUUAGUUAGCCGUGUUAGUUGGAUUAGCCAAUGAGGCGGCUCCUGUAAUUGGCUCGUUAGCUUUGCUGUGCAUCCAGCUGUGACGAGAUCUACUGAUGUAGGAUGUGUUGGGCAAGCAAGGCACUGGGUGAGUUAGCAACUUAACACUCCUUCAUCUUGGAUGAUGUGAUGUGAUUACAGAGGUGACGGGGAACCGGAGGCUCGGAAAGAGUCGGAGGAAACUUCUCGAGUGGAGAAAGUAAGAAGGAAAGAAAGAAAGAACCGAAGAAAAGGAAGAAAUAAAAGAAGGACAGAUUUGGGGGGGAAAUACAGAAAGAAAGAAAGAAAGAAGCUGCUGAUUGGUCGGCUGCUGUAGAUGAUUUCGUUUCUUUCUGUCAUCUCCAGCAACCAUUACUGUGUAGUGUUUAUUAAAUAUUAUAAACUUCACUAAAGCGCCCCUUUAACCACGGACAAGAAGGACGGGAAGAAAAAAGAAAGAAGCCAGGACAUACUUUAAAAAAAAAAAAAAAAAGAUUUUAUUACGGUUUAUAGAAUUAAAAAUAGACUUAAGAAAGUAAAUUGUCCUAGUAAUGAUCAA